GUCGCGAGUGCGCGAGAACGCGAGUGUUUUUUAAUCGCGGUGGCCCGCCGCCGUUGUUGCUGUCGCCGCCGCCGCCGCCACCACCGUUGCCGCAGCCGUCGCCGUCGCCGUCGCCGUCGCCGUCGUUAUCGUCGUCGUCGUCGUCGCGGUGCUUGCCACUGCUCUCCGCCGUUAGAGAACGGCUCUCCGCUAGGGAAUACGAUAUACCAAGGGAGUAGUUCGCCGCGGUAAGGUAUGCGUGCGACCGACGCGGCGGUCUCCGAUGAUCUCCGCGUUUUUGUGCAAGCCGAGAUACAGGAGCAACGCGGGGCGCACUCGCCGACGCGCUGCCACGACGCUACGAGAGCCCCGAAAAUAACGGGCCUAUUAAUAGGGGAUACCUCGGCGCAGCGGCCGCUCCGCGUGUGAACUUGAAGAUAGCGAGGAGGCCGACCGACACCGCCCGACCGACGAUCGCGUACGUAUAUCACGCGCUUUAUUGCGGCCCCGAUGCGGGGUGCGACACGCGGGGGCCAGCGGGGAAGCGAGGCGGAGGACGACGAGCUGCUUGCUCUCGGGUCCGCCGCAAGCUAGAGAGCGACGGUGUCCCGAAAGGGACAAAUGACCGUUUUCAUCCGCGAGGGGUCUUUCAACCGAGUGCGACAACGAACAGCGACUUUCGCCUGCCCGACUCGCUUCUCCUCUGGACCCGUGGUAGUCUCUCUCUCUGGUGUCACCUAGCAAGGCGCCGGAAGUGAGCGUCGUUCCGACGGCGCGCGACGCCCGAGGAUGCUCCUCUUGUAUCUUUCCGGAAGGAAUCGGGAAUUGGACUCUGAUGUCCGUCGUGGAUACGCGGGUAGGCCGCUAGCCACUCGAGCACGCGCGAUGGCUCGCGGAAAUAUUAAACAUCUCGCUGAUACGCGCGUGUUAAUGUAACACGCGGUAUUAUCGCGAUGUGCAAUGGAAAGAAGUACGCGUAACUGGGUCGCGGCGUAAAACACCUGCCUUGAUGCCUAUUUCUUUGACUGUUAUUUUACGAAAUGCCUGAUUCGAUAAUCGACUCGCUUCGACUGUGAAGCUUCAUGCCAAAGCGAGUGACGAGAUCAACGGGUCUCCCUCAGCAGUAUGAUCGCAUCGACGCAAGUUGUGCUGCAUAUGAGUUUGUCGCAAUAUUCGUUUUUUUUUUUUAACGAUGUAACUUAUUUAUGUUCCGUUGUUUGCCGUCUUUCGAGUAUCACGUCGCGGAAAACGUUCUAAUCUAGGAUUUGAAGUUUGCAAAUACGAGAUCAUGGGUGAAAUCCUACGUGGCUUCGUCGCAACUCGCUCAUAAAAGUGCAACGUGCGUCGAGGACACAUUGUUGUUAUACAGUACAAGUGAAGUGUUUAUGAGAACAGUGUUACGAUGUCGAAAAGCAUAUUUUGAAGAAUACGAUUAUAACGUUCGAUCAAACCCGCGAGAUUAUCGUUACAAAGUUUCGUUCCGUAGCGAUGCAACAAGAAUUCCGAUCGCAAACCAUAUUAAAGUCCUCAAAAUUAAAAACCUAAAUCUUAAAUACCUUAAGCUUAUAUAUUAUUUGUUUAAAUAACACUAUCUUUAAUCGUUCUGCGUUCUAUUUUGAUAGAUUCGUGGAAAAGCCUGAAAAUGCUUUCUGUGUUCUUUUUUUUCUGAAUCGGUGAUUGAUAAUUUCCGGUUUGGAAUUUCGACAUUGAUUCGCGAAAAUGUCGAAAUUGCGGAAUUGUAACGCUUUUCUAGCCGCGUGACGAUAUGCAGGAAGAGAGGCGGCGAACUGCAGUUCGCCGCUCGUUCUGGACAAUUUUUCAUAACUCGCACGAUCGAGCCGGCGAUCGCUUAUGAUUUUCUUGCACGCCGUUGCUAAUUUAAACGUUGGCGUUUGCUGCCAAGUAUACGACGCGAGUCCACCGGGUAGGACUCGCGUUUACUCGCAUCGACGCAAGUUGUGCUGCAUAUGAGUUUUUGUCGCAAUAUUCGUUUUUUUUUUUAACGAUGUAACUUAUUUAUGUUCCGUUGUUUGCCGUCUUUCGAGUAUCACGUCGCGGAAAACGUUCUAAUCUAGGAUUUGAAGUUUGCAAAUACGAGAUCAUGGGUGAAAUCCUACGUGGCUUCGUCGCAACUCGCUCAUAAAAGUGCAACGUGCGUCGAGGACACAUUGUUGUUAUACAGUACAAGUGAAGUGUUUAUGAGAACAGUGUUACGAUGUCGAAAAGCAUAUUUUGAAGAAUACGAUUAUAACGUUCGAUCAAACCCGCGAGAUUAUCGUUACAAAGUUUCGUUCCGUAGCGAUGCAACAAGAAUUCCGAUCGCAAACCAUAUUAGUCUACAAAAUUAAAAACUUAAAUCUUAAAUACCUUAAGCUUAUAUAUUAUUUGUUUAAAUAACACUAUCUUUAAUCGUUCUGCGUUCUAUUUUGAUAGAUUCGUGGAAAAGCCUGAAAAUGCUUUCUGUGUUCUUUUUUUUCUGAAUCGGUGAUUGAUAAUUUCCGGUUUGGAAUAUCGACAUUGAUUCGCGAAAAUGUAUUGCGGAAUUGUAACGCUUUUCUAGCCGCGUGACGAUAUGCAGGAAGAGAGGCGGCGAACUGCAGUUCGCCGCUCGUUCUGGACAAUUUUUCAUAACUCGCACGAUCGAGCCGGCGAUCGCUUAUGAUUUUCUUGCACGCCGUUGCUAAUUUAAACGUUGGCGUUUGCUGCCAAGUAUACGACGCGAGUCCACCGGGUAGGACUCGCGUUUACUCGCAUCGACGCAAGUUGUGCUGCAUAUGAGUUUUUGUCGCAAUAUUCGUUUUUUUUUUUAACGAUGUAACUUAUUUAUGUUCCGUUGUUUGCCGUCUUUCGAGUAUCACGUCGCGGAAAACGUUCUAAUCUAGGAUUUGAAGUUUGCAAAUACGAGAUCAUGGGUAAAAUCCUACGUGGCUUCGUCGCAACUCGCUCAUAAAAGUGCAACGUGCGUCGAGGACACAUUGUUGUUAUACAGUACAAGUGAAGUGUUUAUGAGAACAGUGUUAUGAUGUCGAAAAGCAUAUUUUGAAGAAUACGAUUAUAACGUUCGAUCAAACCCGCGAGAUUAUCGUUACAAAGUUUCGUUCCGUAGCGAUGCAACAAGAAUUCCGAUCGCAAACCAUAUUAGUCUACAAAAUUAAAAACUUAAAUCUUAAAUACCUUAAGCUUAUAUAUUAUUUGUUUAAAUAACACUAUCUUUAAUCGUUCUGCGUUCUAUUUUGAUAGAUUCGUGGAAAAGCCUGAAAAUGCUUUCUGUGUUCUUUUUUUUUCUGAGUCGGUGAUUGAUAAUUUCCGGUUUGGAAUUUCGACAUUGAUUCGCGAAAAUGUCGAAAUUGCGGAAUUGUAACGCUUUUCUAGCCGCGUGACGAUAUGCAGGAAGAGAGGCGGCGAACUGCAGUUCGCCGCUCGUUCUGGACAAUUUUUCAUAACUCGCACGAUCGAGCCGGCGAUCGCUUAUGAUUUUCUUGCACGCCGUUGCUAAUUUAAACGUUGGCGUUUGCUGCCAAGUAUACGACGCGAGUCCCCCGGGUAGGACUCGCGUUUACUCGCAUCGACGCUCGUUGCUUUUGCGACAUUGAUUCAAUCGCAUUGUUUCUUUCGAGUCGCUCGUUAUGCGGCCCACCGAGUUAUCAAUCAAUCGUUAUUUCGGCCCGUAGCUCAUUACUCGGUGGAUUGAAAGUGAAAGUGGCACGAGUCGGAACUUUUAGUCCGCAGCAACGACGUAUGGAAUAACCGCAAGACAAACAGUAAAUCAGUAUCAGUCGCGCGAAUUUUUGGAGAAUUUGCUUAUUACUUGAAUCUAUCUUUUAUUUACGUGUGAUUUAUUUAUUUUAUGGUAUAUACUGGUCUGCAGUCGUUAUUAGUUUCCACAUUUGUCUUCUUACUUUCCUUCCUUGUCAAAGCACAUAUUUGGCACUGUUCUUGUUUCAAGUGCAAAAAUGUGAAAUAAGGGAAACUUACAAUUAGAGGAAGCAUAUAGUCACGUUCUGUUAAUGCGUUUUCAUGUUCUUCUCGAAUCCAGACUGUGCAUCUGCGCUUUUUUAUACUCCCUCCUCUCUGCUAAAAUGGAGAUGAGGGAUAAGUGCGUAAGUGUUAAAAGGACAAAAAGACGAAAUUGAAAUGGAGAAAGUGUGAUGUGAAAACGAGAACAUUAUUAAACAAUUUUAAUGGAAAUGCAAAA
rnacentral:lncRNA from 1 species